AGAUUAGAGUUUGAUCCUGGCUCAGAACGAACGCUGGCGGCAGGCUUAACACAUGCAAGUCGAGCGCCCUGCUUGCAGGGAGCGGCAGACGGGUGAGUAACGCGUGGGAACGUGCCUAUUGGUUCGGAAUAGCCCUGGGAAACUGGGUGUAAUACCGAAUGUGCCCUUCGGGGGAAAGAUUUAUCGCCAAUAGAUCGGCCCGCGUUAGAUUAGCUAGUUGGUGGGGUAAAAGCCUACCAAGGCUACGAUCUAUAGCUGGUCUGAGAGGAUGAUCAGCCACACUGGGACUGAGACACGGCCCAGACUCCUACGGGAGGCAGCAGUGAGGAAUCUUGGACAAUGGGCGAAAGCCCGAUCCAGCCAUGCCGCGUGAAUGAUGAAGGCCUUAGGGUUGUAAAAUUCUUCCAGCAGGGAAGAUAAUGACGGUACCUGCAGAAGAAGCCCCGGCUAACUCCGUGCCAGCAGCCGCGGUAAUACGGAGGGGGCUAGCGUUGUUCGGAAUUACUGGGCGUAAAGCGCUCGUAGGCGGAUUGGUCAGUCAGAGGUGAAAGCCCAGGGCUCAACCUUGGAAUUGCCUUUGAUACUGCCAGUCUUGAGUUCGGGAGAGGUGAGCGGAAUUCCGAGUGUAGAGGUGAAAUUCGUAGAUAUUCGGAGGAACACCAGAGGCGAAGGCGGCUCACUGGACCGAUACUGACGCUGAGGAGCGAAAGCGUGGGGAGCAAACA
rnacentral:rRNA from 1 species